GGGUGGAGAGGAACAUACAAGGCCGCGGCUCUGGCCGCUUCAAUCCUCCUUGCUGUGUCCCGGAGGGCACUCCUCCGUGGCUCUGCUCCCAAAUGCUCCAUUGUGCCUCAGACUGAGGUAUUUGUUUGGCCACUGCUACUGCUGUGGCUGUUUGCUAACUGCCUAGCAGUUGAGCUCCAUAAUUCCAUCUGAUGCGCUCGCUACUUGUCUUAGCAUGUAUCGCAAGACUGUUUGCCAUGUGAAGUCGUUCUGUUGGCGGUGGGUGCCUCUCCUUCACAACUAUGGUUGCCAGCGACAUGGGCCCAUGUGACCUCCAAUGCUGAAACCAGAGGUUGCCGUUUUGUCCUCCCCAUGGUUCCCUUCUGCUGUUCGUGGUGACUGCUUGAAUACGGUGUGCUUGUGUGUUUGGAAGCCAGGUGCAUGACACUUGGCUGCUUGCUGCGCUUCACCUGUCCAGUGACUGCAGUGCUUAGGCUUGGUGACUGAAAACUCACCCAGCUAAUUUGGGCCUUCUUCAACCAACCUGGUGCGCUGUAAUACCAAAUUUUGAUUUUGUGUUUUCAUUUUGGGUUGCUGUGAUUUUCAUUUUGUUUGCGGUGAUUUCAUUUUAGUUGCUGUGCCUUUUUGUUAAGUUUAUUGUUUUUCAUCAGCGUAUCUGUAUUUGGUUUAAAGAAACCUCUACCAGGGUGCAGUACCACCAGUGAAGUGUGUGUGUGUGUGUGCAUGUGUCUGUGCUUUUUAAGAGUUAUGUUUGAGAAAAACAGAGGAAAAUAAAAAGACUAAUAUUGGU